ACGGGAGGCAGCAGUGGGGAAUAUUGGGCAAUGGGCGAAAGCCUGACCCAGCAACGCCGCGUGAAGGAAGAAGGUCUUCGGAUUGUAAACUUCUUUUAUAAGGGACGAAGAAAGUGACGGUACCUUAUGAAUAAGCCACGGCUAACUACGUGCCAGCAGCCGCGGUAAUACGUAGGUGGCAAGCGUUAUCCGGAUUUACUGGGUGUAAAGGGCGCGUAGGCGGGGAUGCAAGUCAGAUGUGAAGUCUAUGGGCUCAACUCAUAAACUGCAUUUGAAACUGUAUCCAUUGAGUGCUGGAGAGGUAGACGGAAUUCCUUGUGUAGCGGUGAAAUGCGUAGAUAUAAGGAAGAACACCGGUGGCGAAAGCGGUCUACUGGACAGUAACUGACGCUGAGGCGCGAGAGCGUGGGGAGCAAACAGGAUUAGAUACCCUGGUA
rnacentral:rRNA from 1 species